rnacentral:rRNA from 1 species
CCAGACUCCUACGGGAGGCAGCAGUCGGGAAUAUUGCGCAAUGGAGGAAACUCUGACGCAGUGACGCCGCGUAUAGGAAGAAGGUUUUCGGAUUGUAAACUAUUGUCGUUAGGGAAGAGAAAGGACAGUACCUAAGGAGGAAGCUCCGGCUAACUACGUGCCAGCAGCCGCGGUAAUACGUAGGGGGCAAGCGUUAUCCGGAUUUACUGGGUGUAAAGGGAGCGUAGACGGUGAAGCAAGUCUGAAGUGAAAGGUGGGGGCUCAACCCCCGGACUGCUUUGGAAACUGUUUGACUGGAGUGCAGGAGAGGUAAGUGGAAUUCCUAGUGUAGCGGUGAAAUGCGUAGAUAUUAGGAGGAACACCAGUGGCGAAGGCGGCUUACUGGACUGUAACUGACGUUGAGGCUCGAAAGCGUGGUGAGCAAACAGGAUUAGAUACCCCUGUAA